CCUACGGGAGACAGCAGUGGGGAAUAUUGCACAAUGGGGGAAACCCUGAUGCAGCAACGCCGCGUGAGUGAAGAAGGAUUUCGGUUCGUAAAGCUCUAUCAGCAGGGAAGAAAAUGACAGUACCUGACUAAGAAGCCUCGGCUAACUACGUGCCAGCAGCCGCGGUAAUACGUAGGGGGCAAGCGUUAUCUGGAUUUACGGGGAGUAAGGGGAGCGUAGACGGUUGUGCAAGUCAGAAGUGAAAGCCCGGGGCUCAACAGCGGGACUGCAUUUGAAACUGUAUAGCUAGAGUGCAGGAGAGGUAAGUGGAAUUCCUAGUGUAGCGGUGAAAUGCGUAGAUAUUAGGAGGAACACCAGUGGCGAAGGCGGCUUACUGGACUGUAACUGACGUUGAGGCUCGAAAGCGUGGGGAGCAAACAGGAUUAGAUACCCGUGUAGUC
rnacentral:rRNA from 1 species